CACACAACCACACACAAUCACACAGGCAGUCUGCAAGAUUCCUUCAGAAGGUGCCAUGAUGGAUGCAAAACUGUAAAACUAUCCCUGCAAAAAAUCUAAUGAGAUCUGAGUUGGGAAUUAACAUUGACCUUAUGGAGAGAUUGGCAUUGUACAACAGAGAUCUGUGAACAGGAAGACUUGUGGUGACAUCUAACCAGGAAGAGGGACACAGCUUUGUAAGCUCAGGAGAACUGAAAAUUCAGUCCUCCGAUCUCAUGACCAAGCCAGUUUCCUCUUUUACACCCAGGAAUUGGAGAGCGGAUGUCAAAGCUACUGGCAUAUGGAGGACAAAGGCCAGCCAUGCAGGUGUACCUGAGCUCACUAGGGCCUGGCUGGCAGGGUCUGAUCUAGUGUGAAGAGGAGAAACAGUCCCUGCAGGUUUUGCCUCCCUAAUCUGCUGGUGCGCCAGAGCCAAUGCAACGCUCCCUCUGGAAUCCCCAGGAAUCACAUGGUUGUAGAAUGAAAAAGGAAUUUGAGCAAUUUAAAAGUGGUGCUGGCCUAUAUAUGGUAUGCAUGUUAGCACUGCACUUAUCAAAUGAUAACACUGAAAACAUUACAAAAGUAAUUCAGCAGUUCAGAUGGAACCUAAGCAUUAUGGGUUCCUAUUUGUGAUGAAUGAAUGCUAGGGUCAUUGUAUGUAAUUACAUUUCAAUUACCAUCAAUUAUUGAGAUAUUAAUGCAAAUAUCCCAUUUGCAUUGAUGUACGCAUCACUGAUUUCCUCAUUUCAUGUUCAUCGCUGUCACUAACUUUGACAUACUAAGAAAUGUUAUUAUUUAUCUGAUUUUAUAUGGGAAAGCUCCCACCACCCAGUCCAAAUAUCCUGGGAACAGAAUGUCAGUGACACAUAUUUUUAAUUUACUAUGCAGAGAUAAAAACAUUGUUGACAGACUUUAUAUGCUGAAGUAAGACUUUUUGUGGCCCGUUGAUGACUUCAUUUCAACCAGUACUACAUUACUUAAAUUUCUAUAGGAAGAUACUUAAAUAUUAAUGUGUAUAGAGAAUUUAUAACACGCUUGAAUGAUUAAACAUUUACUGUAAUAUCUGUACAUAAUGGUUACUGGAAUGUUGGCAAAA